GUCAAGUCAGCUUUCACGGCUUGGAGGGAAGCAAUUAAGCAGAGGAUCGCGGUUGCCC
rnacentral:SRP_RNA from 17 species